GGGGCUAUAGCUCAGCUGGGAGAGCGCCUGCCUUGCACGCAGGAGGUCCGCGGUUCGAUCCCGCUUAGCUCCA
rnacentral:tRNA from 1 species